CGUGGAGUAGCUCAGCGGUAGAGCACCGACACGACACCUGGGAGGACGCUGGUUCGAUCCCCGCCUCCACGG
rnacentral:tRNA from 1 species